CAGAGGAGGAGUGAGGAUGGGAAGGGAGGGGCACAGGGAAGGAAAUACAGCCCAGGAAGGAAGAAUAGGAUGCAAUAGCUUUGGGGCCCGUGGACGCCUUGUGCAAACUCGCGAAAGAACCUCAAGCCCCCUGUGGGGUUCAGUAUUUAGUGUACGGAUUAGGGAUACUUUCUAAAAUGUACCCUCCUUCCAUUUUUCAAUGAGACAUGAGACGUCACCUGUGUUCUAACAUUGCUUGCUAUAGGUCCAUCGAGAGUAAGGCAUGACAAACUUUAGUCAGCUGGAUGUGACUAUUGCCCAACAACACACCUAAUGGCCUAGAUGGUUUUCAUUAGCAUUAAAGGCUCGAUUGCAAUGCUACAAGUUAUGGAAGUCAAUUAAAACAAUACAACAACCACCUUAAAUAUCCGAGCGACAUCAUCAAAUGGUGCAAACAACCAAAGUGAAAAGAGUUAAAGAGUUCCAAUAAUACAUCCGAAGAUUUAUGACUAAGGCGGAUGUGGGAAAAAACACUAUUGAAGGGGGACAAUCUAUUAAAAAUACAAUUUACAGGAAAACUAAGGUUUUCAUGUUUGUCUGUCAAAGGUUUAUAGAAAGAAAAUAAUCACACAUAAAUGGAAGAACGGAAGGCAGAAUAGCCUUAAACACAGUUAAAAAGAAUCAAAGAAGAAAGAACAACAGGUUUACAACAGUAUCAUGGCAAUGCUACCAAACCAGGAAGGCCUGGGAUUUGAUCAGUUAAAAACAUGUUUUCUGAAAACAUCAAAAUCAUCUCACAUGAAUCUUUAUACCAUUUCACUGUCAACAUGACUUUUACUCAAAGUAAAAUUUUGGACUUCUGUAGUUAUUAUUUAACUGAUAAGGUGCCACGUACCAAAUCAAAGUUGUAGCCAAUAGCUACAUAUCUUCUUCAGCCCAAGUUUCAGAACACACUUCAGCUCUCAUCACUAUGCGGCCUUUCUAAUUAUUAUUUAUUAUUAUUGUUAAUUCCCCAUUAAGGAGAGCGUUAAAACACAAUAUUCACAAUGACAAUAUGGUACAUAAAUUGGUACAUUUCAAAUUCAUUGCACUUUUUUCUGUCUCUCUUUUCUCUUCCCAAAAACCUCUCAUAAAUUCACUGUGUUUCUUCUUCCUCUCUGCUGUCCACUUCUUUCCUGAUUUCUUCUCUUUUGGUGUUUCUUCGAAUUUCUGUUUGUUGGUUUUUUCUCUGUAUUUUCCUCUGUUUGAUAUUUCUUCUGUGGAGAUGUUUAGAUUUUUGAGGUCUUCCAUGGUUUCCUUUACCCACUUAGUUUUCACCUUAUUCGUCACCACUAUGUUAAAAAUCAUCUUGGUCAGCCUAUUUUCAUUCAUCCUAUGAAUGAGCCCAUAAAAUUUUGCCCUUCUUUUUCUGAUAUUGUCUGUAAUUGUCUCUACCUGUUUGUACAAUUCCUUUGUUGGUCUCUUUAUCCAGAUCCCCCGUCUCUGAACUGGCAUAUAGAUCUUUCUCAGAAUUUUCCUCUCUUGCUUUUCCAUUUCCUUGAUUUUAGUUCUUCCUCCGAUUACUGUUGUUUCUGAGGCACACAAGGCCUCAGGUAAGACUACUGUUUUGUAAUGUCUUAAUUUGGCAUUGACGGAAAUAUUUAUUUUAUUGUAAUGGUUCCAUGUAAGUCUGUAUGCUUUUUGUAGUUUUGUAACCGUUUCUUCAUUGGCUGUUGAAUUCAGUCCUGUUUUCGGUAUAACCUCUCCCAGGUAUUUGAAACAUUCUACUUAUGUUAUCUUUUCGUAUUUUGCUAUCAAUGGGCUUCUGUCUGUAGAUUUUGUGUCCACGUACUGGGUUUUUUCAUAUGAUAUUUGUAGUCCUGUUCUGGCUGUGAUUUCAUGCAGUAUCUCUAGGGCUUCUCUGGCUUCUUUUCUGUCAUUUGUAAUGAUGGCUAUAUCGUCGGCAAAGGCCAGACAUUUUAUCUUGACGGUUCUAUUUUUCUCUCUCCCCAUCUUUACCCCAUUGACUCCUUUGUCCCAAGUCCUGAUUAUUUUCUCUAAAACAGCGUUAAAUAAAAUGGGUGACAGGCUAUCUCCCUGUCUCACUCCUGUUUUGAUUUCGAAAGAUUCUGAGAUCUCGCCCAUGAACUUCACUUUUGACUUUGUAUUUUGUUAAUGUUUCCUGAAUUAGUUUUCUGGUCUUAUUGUCUACCUUCAUUUCUUCUAGUGUAUUAAAAAGUGUUUCUCUGUCUAUGGAAUCUUAAGCCUUCUUGAAAUCAAAUGCUACUAUGGUGUUUCUGGACUUUCUAGUUGUUAAUAAUGUUCUCAGACACCAGAUCUGCUCACUGCAUGAUCUUCCCUUCCUGAACCCUCCUUGGUAGUCUCCGAUCUGUGGAUCUAUCUGAGGUUAUAGGUGAUUUAACAGGCCUUUUGAUAUAAUUUUGUAUGCCACCGGCAGUAACAAAAUUCCUCUAUAGUUAUUAUGGUCUGUUUUGUCUCCUUUCUUGUGGAGGGGGUGUAUUAGGGCUGACUUCCAUUCUUCUGGUAUCUUUUCUGUUUCCCAGAUGUUUUUGAUUAUUGUUGUUGUUGUCGUCGUCAUCUUCAGUCCUGAGACUGGUUUGAUGCAGCUCUCCAUGUCCUCUGCAACCUUCUUCAUCUCCCAGUACCUACUGCAACCUACAUCCUUCUGAAAUCCUUCUGUUUUUGAUUAUACUAUGAAUUUUGGGUGUAAUGUUUUCAUGGUCUAAUUUCCAGAUUUCUGCAAUCAGUCCAUCUUCACCUGGUGUUCUGUUAUUUUUCAAUGAUUUUAUUAUUUUCACGAUUUAUUUCUUCAUAUGUUGGGGGUUCGGAGCCCCGGUUGGGUUCUGGUUUUGUAAACUAUAAUCUCUGUUUUGGUUUAUCACAGUUAAGCAACGUGUCAAAGUAUCUGACUAAUAUUUCACAGUUUUUCUUCGGAUUUGUCUCCAGUCUUCCAUCUUGUCUUUUGAAGCAUAAGCUUGGUGGCUGAUAUCCUGUCAUAUUUUCUCAGAAUACACUGUAAAAAUUUCGUGUUGUUGUUUCUGGUGAAGUCUUCUUCUAUCUCCUUAAACCUGUUGUUUUCGUAACCUCUUUUUUCUCUUCGGAUUAUUUUUGAUGUGUUUUUCUGUAUCCUGUUGAAGUCCUCCCAUUUUUAUUGUGUUUUAUGGCUGUUAAAUUUUUUCCAGGCUUGUAUUCUGUCUUCCAUGGCCUUGUUGCACGUCAUAUUCCACCAUCGGUGUUUCCUUUUUCUCGGUGGCUGCCCCAAUUUUAUCAGUUCUUUUAUUUUAUCUGACAGUUCUGUCCAGUUGUUGCUAUUGAUUUUCGUAAGUUCUUCUAUUAUUUCUUUCUUGUUUAUUUGUAGGUACUCUUGAUCUGUUCUGAAAGAAUUCCUCUAUCAUCUCUGGGUUCUUUUUGUUAUAAUUGUUUGGGGAGGCAUGUCCAUUGACUAAUGUAUAGGCUUUGUUUCCAGAUCUUAUUGUGAGUGUCGACAUUUUUUCUGAUUUUGAGGCGAAAUCUAUUACGGAGUGCAGUAUCGAUUUCUGUACUACAAAAACCAGUUCCAAAGAGUUUGAGAUUUCUUCCUGGGAUGGUUAUGGCUGGUUUCUCCUUAUAUAUUCUGUAAUUUUCAGAAUCAAAGUGGUUCUCAUCUGCAAAUCUUGUUUCCUGUAUUGCAAUAACUUUGAUGUUGUAUUUAUCCAUGGCGUUUGUUAAUUGUUUCAGUUUACCUGGCCUCAGUAGUGUGUUGGUGUUGAGUGUUCCCAUGUAAAAUACUUUCUUCAUCUUGAGGGUUUUUGAGAGGCUCCGAUUCUUCUCUUUAUGACAUGCCUGAUCCCCUGGAAUCCAACGAUCAGGUCUAUUACCCCGUCUUACUGACUGGGGCCCAGGGUAGUGGAUUCUUUCCUGUUGUUCUGUCAUGAUUAUUGGUUUGUGUUGAGGUAUUGGUGGUGAAAUCAUGAAGGAUCUCACAAUUUCGACUGGAGUUUUGAGUUCCAGAAGAUUAACUUACAGCCGAGCUCACAGAGCCAACAGACGCUGAUCAGAGUACCGGUGGCUGCCACGCAGACGUGUCUGGAUUUUGAGGCUUUGCAUGUAACCUUAUGCAGGGGCCCUAACAGGGUGCUACCAUCCGGAGCCAGAUGGACCCAGUAAUUUUUUUUUAAGGUGUUACUCCUCCCCCUCCUUCUUCCUCAUCACUUGCGAGAUGAGGCCCAGGGCUUGGGACCGGCAGUGCUUCAUUCAAAUAUCUGAUGAUUUAAGGGAACAAGAAGUGACCACUAUAAAUAUUGUGACAUUCUGUUUAGCAUCUGAACUUAUGGGAAAGAAGGUCCAAAUCUUAGAAGUAUUAGGAGCAGUUUCACAGUAAAAAACACAUAUGAUCAUCUACCGAUAAUUAAAAUCUCUGAGAAGCAGUGUGGCAUGUAAGAGACGUUUAUCUUAACUGCAGAAGUCAAAGAAUGUAACCCAAAAUUUGAGAACAUUUUAAUGACAGCUAUAAAAGAUGAAAGUGACAUCAGGAGGAAGUUUCGAACAUGCCUUGGAGAAGUUUUGUCUGGGGGGGGGGGGGCGCUUGUAACCCAAUACAUGUCAAUACAGUAGGAAAUAUAUCAGAAGUAAUGAGAAAAAGAAUACUGGAAUUUUUUGGAUAUUUAUACAAAUGAAAGAGAGUAGAUUAACCAAAAAGGCCUUCAAAUGUUUGUGGAAUAAGACGUCAAUAUGGAUCCACGAAUCAAUAAACCGGACAAGUGCAAGUGGGAGUCAUGUUCUGAGGGUUCCGUAAAAAUUCAAUUACAUAUACAGAUAAUAAUACUAAUUUCAUGUGGCUCAAUGGCCUGGAGCAAGUCUUUCUACUGGACCACCACUUUGACAGCUUUAGUGUCUCCUACCCACCCAAGUUAUCCAACUGGAUAUAGGGGACCUACUGUUUAACGUGGAAUCCAAAUCCCGUGCCAUUUCUGGUGUCAUCUCACACUGUUGGCAGCUGAAGGCUAGGUAAAAACAAAGACUGAAAAGUUCAUAGUUCAACCAAGAAUUGAUCCUGCACCCUCUCUGCUUCCUGGCACACACUUGACUGCUACACCAUCAGGCCAGAAGUGUGUAAAUUUUUCACCUAUAGGUUUCGAUGAUACUUUGCAAAAACCAGUGUAUGUGACAUAUGGUUGUAUCUUUUGAUUGUACUGACUUACAAGCUUUACUCUAGCAGGGAACUGUAGACUACAGUAUGUGACAAAUUUCAGUUUCACACCUAUGCCUGUUCCUCACAACAACAAAAAAAGAUCUUAACGGUCGAACAGACAGACAAUUUGAUCCUUUAAGGGGAGCCGGAGGUGCAUAUGCUGCCCAUGUUAAAAUCACUAAGUUUGAGGAACAUUUAUGAAUGAAACACCAAAUAGAAAAAUUUGAAUUUUUUUUUUUACAUAUAGAGUGGUUUAGUAUUGCAGUUAUGACAGAGGGAUUUUGGAGUAUCUUUUCUAGUUUCUUUCCAAAUUUUUUUUAUUAAUGACCCAAAUUUUUUUUACAAGUAAUUGCUUUAUAAUUAAACUGAAAUGAAACUACUGAACAUAUUGACAAAUGGCUGUGUUACAAUGUAAGUUUGACCACUAGGAGUGCUGUAUAAAAAUUUCACCUCUCUAGCUUGAGUGGAUUUUGAGAAAAUGUUCCUUACAUUCGAAAAAUUCUAAUUUACGGGAAAUGGCUAUCAAAGUUUCUCAAUACAUUCCUGCACUAUAGUAUGGAUUAUCAGGAUCGUCUUCCUCAUCCUCCAAAAGCUUCCUCUUCUGUGUUCUUUUCUGGCCUGUUGUUCCAUCAUACUUCAUAUGCCUUUCUCUUCUUUCUGCUUCUCUUAUCCUUUCUCUGUCAAUAUUUCUUAGUGGUCGUACAGUGUUCACCCCAGCUGUAAACCCUAAUGCCUGCACACUUGACACUGUUCCCUUGGUUGUAGGUUGCUAUUGCAUCAUAAAUGCCGAAGUGCAGUGUUUUUAUGCUUACAAACACUCUUUUAGGAAUCACUUUCCAAAUCAAAUUGUUUACGCUCUCAUUAGGAUUCUGCGUCUUUCUGUGUAGACAUUUGUGUAACAAUUCUGGCUGUGCUAAGUCAUGAAAUUUGGUUUUAUUGCAUUUAUCACAGCCGCUGGCAAACCGUGUUUGUGAUCAUAGUCCUUUUUUGCAUUAUAUUUGCACCAGGAAUCUUUUGGGCACAGACUGUGUUGAGGGUAUUCAUUGGAAGAGGCAGUAUGAAGGAACAAUGCCCACACUGCUUUUCGCAUGUCACUAACAUUACUAGUAUUUUGCCUUAUACCAUACCCAUAGUAUCUCUGUAGACGUUCAAUCACCUCACCAGUAAGCCUGCCUCUCCCUCCUAUUGUCUUUCCAUCACUGAGCUUACUUGAACCCAAAGUUCACUUGAGCCUUCGAAGCCGUGCACCCAUACGCUUUUGCACAUGCCCAAUGCAUUCCAACUUUUCAACUACAAAUUCAUUUCCAUAUGGUUUAAGUUCAUCUAUAGUCUUGAAACCUUUGGAGUGACCAUCCCCAAGGCAGUAUUUGUACCUAAUGUUGUAUCUGGGAACUGAACGUUCAAAAAUUUGUUUCACUCCAUCCACUUCCAUUGCUCCACUUGAUCCACUAAAAUUUGCCUCACAGGUUCCACUGUGCUCUCCUUUGAUUUUAUUUUUGCACCUACAAUGUUUUGAUAAUACUGCAACAUCUAUCACUUUUGCACUAUCACCACAAGUAGCAGUUACAACCCCAUUCAGGGAUUUAUGAGCCCUCUUUUGCCAGGAACCAUCUAAUGCCACUACCUAAUCCCUAGAACCACUGUUUCUUUCAGCAGAUUCCUCCACUGCUUCCUUCAUGGUUUUCAAAGCCACAUCUUCAACAGAGGAUCCUACCAGUUCACAAUAGUACCCAAAUUUGCUUGGAGGUGAUGGCAAGUUCAUAACACCACAAAACAGUUUACCAGCAGCAGACCCUUUUCCAAUGGAUCGAAGACGAUACACAAGUCGAACAUUCACAUCAAACACUCUAGAUCGUCCAUUUUCACCAAAGAGACUGGCAUGUGAAUUGUAGAAAGUCACUUGAUACUUGCAACAUGCACAGAUUAUCUUCAUCUCACAAGCUAAACCAAAGUGCUUUGUUAUCUCUAGUCCCACUCCUACACUUGAACACAUUUUGCACAGAACACUUUCUUUCGACACAGAAGAUAAUAAUCCAAUAUUCAGUACUUCGUUAAUAUCAUCACUGUCACUAGCAUAUUCAUGAAAUCUGUCACUUCCACCAGUCAGCUUCUUGCUAGAAGAUGUCACAGGGCUAUGGCCGGCCAUGUGUUGCUUUGCAGAAGAACGCACUGUUUCAGUAAUUGUAGUAUCGCAACUUGAUAUUAGUCUUAAUUUUCUUUUCCCUACGUUCUUCCUCUUCUUAUAUACAUGGUUACUAAAAUGUGGCAUCAUAACCAGAAAAACGCUUUACACAAGAAGUAUAAUACUACCAACAACGGGCGCAACACUGAACUAAUUCGAAACGGUAAACAUGAAAGAGACGAUGUUCCGCACUCUUAGCGCUUCAUUUGUCACAGAAAACAAUGUAGUCAACCCUUGCACACUCGCUGUAUGCGUAACGUAAGGCGCUGUAUGCGUAACAGGCCGAGAAAAUCCCAAGCAGUUCGCCAGGAAGUCACAAGAGGGUGUUAGAUGCAUUCAGUGGCCGCCCAUUUCCUCUGCAGGUGUGGGGGAAAAUGGUAAUAACUCUACUUCUAGGGCAAGUAGAACAAUAAUUCAAAGUUUACAUUAAAGAGAAAUUAAUUUUCGGUAGGGGGGAAAAAAUCUUAGUUUUUUUUGGAUUUGACUACCUCCGGCUCCCCUUAAGGGUUCCAUUUUUACCAACUGAGGUACAGAGUCCUAAAAAGAAUUUAGGGGAAAAAAUUAUAUAUCAGCUGAAGAAACAACUUGUAAAGGUUUAGGGAAAAAAUCAUUCAAUAUGGAAGAAUUCCAAGCCAGAAGAGUGAAAACUGGUAUGAAGUGAUCAGAAGGAAGAAGAAAAACACAAUGAACAGAUAAAGGGUUACUUGAAAGAAGGGAGGGGGGGGGGGGGGGGGGGGGGGGAGGUGUCUGCGAUUCUAUCAAAGUUUCUAUUAAGCAUAUUGAAAAGUACACAGUGCAAAUCCCUGGCACAGAA